AUGCACGCUGGCGGCGUGCCUAAUACAUGCAAGUCGAGCGAACAGACGAGGAGCUUGCUCCUCUGACGUUAGCGGCGGACGGGUGAGUAACACGUGGAUAACCUACCUAUAAGACUGGGAUAACUUCGGGAAUCCGGAGCUAAUACCGGAUAACAUGUUGAACCGCAUGGUUUAACAGUGAAAGACGGUCUUGCUGUCACUUAUAGAUGGAUCCGCGCCGCAUUAGCUAGUUGGUAAGGUAACGGCUUACCAAGGCAACGAUGCGUAGCCGACCUGAGAGGGUGAUCGGCCACACUGGAACUGAGACACGGUCCAGACUCCUACGGGAGGCAGCAGUAGGGAAUCUUCCGCAAUGGGCGAAAGCCUGACGGAGCAACGCCGCGUGAGUGAAGAAGGUCUUCGGAUCGUAAAACUCUGUUAUUAGGGAAGAACAAAUGUGUAAGUAACUAUGCACGUCUUGACGGUACCUAAUCAGAAAGCCACGGCUAACUACGUG
rnacentral:rRNA from 1 species